rnacentral:lncRNA from 1 species
UGUUACUAAGUGUCUCUGAAUCAUCCAUUAAGUUAAUGGGUAUAAUGACACAUAUUCUUAAGAAUUAUAAAUUUAAAACAUGUAUCAUUAUAAUUAAUUCAUAAAUUGCUUUUGAUAAUAGGAUCAUCAUGGAGACGGUGUUUAAUCUAGAGAGAUUGGUGCACAAUCACUUUCUUAGGAUAGAUGAGUCUUGAAUCUAUG